rnacentral:rRNA from 1 species
CGUGUAGGCGGUACCAUAAGUCAGAUGUGAAAGCCCUAGGCUUAACCUAGAAGGUGCAUUUGAUACUGUGGAACUAGAGAUCGAGAGAGGUAAGUGGAAUUACGAGUGUAGAGGUGAAAUUCGUAGAUAUUCGUAAGAACACCAGUGGCGAAGGCGACUUACUGGCUCGAUACUGACGCUAAGGCGCGAAAGCGUGGGGAGCAAACAGGAUUAGAUACCCUGGUAGUCCACGCUGUAAACGAUGAGUGCUAGAUGUUGGUGAAGGAAUUCAUCAGUGUCGCAGCUAACGCAUUAAGCACUCCGCCUGGGGAGUACGGUCGCAAGAUUAAA